rnacentral:lncRNA from 1 species
UAAUUAUGUUUUUGUUGUUGUUUUUUUUUUUAGGAAUAGAUAGCACGCUAUCCACUUUAUUUAUUUCAUUUAGAAAUAAAUGUAGCUAGAAAUGUGAAUCAACUAGAAUUCGAACUUGAGUCUCGGGUACCAACCGCCAAGCCUUUUGCCACUUACUCUAGGGACGGUCUGUUGUUGUUGUUGUUGUUGUUGUUGUUGUUGUUGUUUAUACAGAUACCUUUUUCUAUAGACUAGUUAUAUAUUAUACAAAAAAAGAAUUUCGGAGAA